rnacentral:rRNA from 1 species
AUGGCUCCCGCCCAGGAAGAGCCGUUGGGGCUCGUCAAGCCUGCGCCACCGCCACCGCCCCCUUCCUUCUUCCUCGACCAACCCUCGAUAACCAACGGUGGCUCACAGUCACAGCAGCCGCAGGAUGACCUGGCCUUGGCAUACAUCUCGCGCAUGCUCAUGGAGGAGGACAUCACCGACAAGUUCUUCUACCAACACCCUGAGCAUCCGACGCUCCUGCAGGCCGAGCAGCCCUUCGCUGAGAUCCUCUCAGCCUCCGGCAUCGCCACAGCUGGUGCCCAUGGGUCCUCCGCUUUACUUCCAAGUCAAGGCAACAACACGGGCAUCAUGGCUUCCGCGUUCUUGUCCAGCGAGGUACAUAGUCCACCCUUGUUCUUGAACGGCACAGUCACAGCGGAGGCGCCCAGGAGCGGCGUCACCAUGGGCGACCUGUCGAGCAUGGCUUUCUUCAAAGGCAUGGAGGAGGCCAACAGCUUCUUGCCCACAGUCAAUGUGAUGGUGGAUGCUAGGGGGCGUAAGAAGAGGUCUGGCAUGGAUAGCGAGACGGAGGCGUGCAUGGGCAGGAGCAGCAAGCAAAUAGCGGUGCGGGUGCUGGCGCAUAAUGAUUCGGAGGAGGAAGAGACCGCACUUGAGCUGGACCUGCUCAUCCUCAACGGCUAUGACAUGUACUCCAAUGAGACGAUGAAGGAGAGGGGGGGCCAGGCGGCGCAUCAGAGCAUUUGCAGGAAGGCGCCGUGUGUGAGGCACAGCGCGAGGCAGAUGGUGGUGGCUGAUCUGGAAACGCUGCUGAUCCGCUGUGCGGAGGCGGUGGCUACCAAUGACCGGAGCAACGCCGGCGAUCUACUGAAGAAGAUCAAGCAGCACUCGCUACCAACAGGAGACGCAAGGCAGCGACUGGCAUAUUACUUCGCCGAGGGGCUGGAGGCACGACUGGCGGGCACAGGGAGGCAAAUAUACCACUCGAUCACCGCGGCGAAUCACACCUCCACCGUGGAGCUCUUCAAAAGCUACCACCUGUGCAUAGCCGCCUGCUGCUUCCUGAAGGUGUCGCUUAACUUCUCCAACAAAAACAUCUACAAUGCCGUGGCGGGGAGAAAGAAGCUGCACAUUGUGCACUAUGGUGUCAACGAUGGGUUCCAGUGGCCGGAUUUGCUCCGGUGGCUAGCAGACAGGGAGGGUGGGCCACCGGAGGUGAGGAUCACCGGCAUUAUUAGCCCGCAGCCUGGGCCCUGUCCGGUUAAGCAAGCCAAGGAGACAAAACGCAGGCUCAGCUACUGUGCAAGGCAGUUUGGCGUGCCAUUCAAGUUCCAUGCUAUCAUAGCCAAGUUAGAGACUGUCCACGCUGAGGACCUCGACAUCGAUCCAGACGAGGUGCUCGUCGUGAACAAUAUGUUUCAUUUCAGGACAUUGAUGGAUGAGAGCCUCACCUUUGACAUGGAAAACCCAAGGGACCUGGUGCUCAACACUAUCAGGAAGAUGAAACCAUCCAUGCUCAUCCACGCUGCUGUCAAUGGAGCAUAUAGCUCGGCGUUCUUCAUGACUCGUUUCCGCCAAGCGCUCAACAACUUCACAGCGCAGUUUGACAUGAUGGAGAGUACCAUGAUGCAGAACAAAGACAAGAUGUUACUGGUGGAGCGGCACAUUUUUGCACGCUCUGUGAUGAAUAUCAUUGCCUGUGAGGGCCCUGACCGGGUGGAGCGCCCUCAGAACUACAAGGAGUGGCAUGCGCGGAACCAGCGAGCCGGACUAAGGCAGCUGUCAUUAGACCCUGACAUUGUUAAGAUGCUCAAGGACCAAGUGAAGAAGCAGUACCACAAGCAUUUCAUGAUUGAUGAGGAUCAACGGUGGCUUCUGCUCGGAUGGAAAGGCCGGGUGCUCUACGCCCUCUCGACAUGGGUAGCUGAUGAUGCUAGUGGCUCUCAACUGGAGUAG